GGGGAUGUGGUGUAGUCGGUUUAUCACGCAGGCCUGUCACGCCUGAGGUCGCGGGUUCGAGUCCCGUCGUCCCCGCCA
rnacentral:tRNA from 1 species